rnacentral:rRNA from 1 species
UACGAAGGGGGCUAGCGUUGUUCGGAAUUACUGGGCGUAAAGCGCACGUAGGCGGAUAUUUAAGUCAGGGGUGAAAUCCCAGAGCUCAACUCUGGAACUGCCUUUGAUACUGGGUAUCUAGAGUAUGGAAGAGGUGAGUGGAAUUCCGAGUGUAGAGGUGAAAUUCGUAGAUAUUCGGAGGAACACCAGUGGCGAAGGCGGCUCACUGGGCCAUUACUGACGCUGAGGUGCGAAAGCGUGGGGAGCAAACAGG